rnacentral:tRNA from 1 species
AUUUAUAUAAUAUAAAUACAGUAUAUUUGACUUCCAAUCAAAAAGUUUAAAAUUAUUUAAUAUAAAUA